CCUUGCAAAGUAUGCUUUAUGCAUACCUAGAGCAGUUACUAGGCACCUAAGUGACCGUGCCUUGCAGGACGUGCUCACAUGUCUAAAGUUACUAUGAAUAGCAGUCAAGCCUUGAUGUUACUAGAGGUUAAAGAAAUCAAGUGGAUGGUUUUAUUAAUCAUCAACAAGGACUGGCAAACAACCUUUCCAGAUGGGAUUAGAUGUCCAGAGUACCAUAGAAACUGGAGUUAAUGCAGUGGUGGGAUUCAGCCGUUUCAGACCGGUUUGGGUGAACUGGUAGCUCAGAGGAUUAGCUGAG